AUACUCUCAACUUCAACCCUUUUUUCGGAAAGGGAGGAAGGUUGGACUUGGGUGUUUGUCGAAGUGCGAGCUUCGACUCAUCCUAAAUGCAUUAGCGAUCUGCCUCGAUCACACACAAUGUGAUAAUUAAAACUAAAGCAUUGUUUAAUGAUCAAGUCGAGACUGCUUCUAACCGUCACAAGACAACAAUGUGCAUACAUUUGUGCAUGUC
rnacentral:misc_RNA from 1 species